GCGUAAAGCGCACGCAGGCGGUCUGUCAAGUCGGAUGUGAAAUCCCCGGGCUCAACCUGGGAACUGCAUUCGAAACUGGCAGGCUAGAGUCUUGUAGAGGGGGGUAGAAUUCCAGGUGUAGCGGUGAAAUGCGUAGAGAUCUGGAGGAAUACCGGUGGCGAAGGCGGCCCCCUGGACAAAGACUGACGCUCAGGUGCGAAAGCGUGGGGAGCAAACAGGAUUAGAUACCCUGGUAGUCCACGCCGUAAACGAUGUCGACUUGGAGGUUGUGCCCUUGAGGCGUGGCUUCCGGAGCUAACGCGUUAAGUCGACCGCCUGGGGAGUACGGCCGCAAGGUUAAAACUCAAAUGAAUUGACGGGGGCCCGCACAAGCGGUGGAGCAUGUGGUUUAAUUCGAUGCAACGCGAAGAACCUUACCUACUCUUGACAUCCAGAGAACUUUCCAGAGAUGGAUUGGUGCCUUCGGGAACUCUGAGACAGGUGCUGCAUGGCUGUCGUCAGCUCGUGUUGUGAAAUGUUGGGUUAAGUCCCGCAACGAGCGCAACCCUUAUCCUUUGUUGCCAGCGGUCAGGCCGGGAAACUCAAGGAGACUGCCAGUG
rnacentral:rRNA from 1 species